CUUCAAAUCACCCUGAGUUUGAAUCCGGUGUUAAGAAAAACAAAAGCAGCCUCAGUUUUCCAAGUGGGUAUUUUCUGUGGGGUCACUACCAAAUGGAAACCACAACCACACUGGUCAAAAUGCUGUUGUGGGGCUCGAGGAGCAGAGAGCUGUGUGAGUGUGUGGAGGAAGAUUAAGGAGGAACUGAGGAAGUGGAGACCAAAUCAUCCAGAGCUUGAACACCAUCUACAGCUACUCUAGCCUGAUAGGACUGCCACCUAGAUGAACAGAAACCAUGGACUGUGAGGAACAGCAGCAGCUCCGGCCUCUCCUGAGGAUGCAGCUUUCUCCCACCCUGGAUCGAGUGAUGGAAGCCUCAAAGAAGGUGUUGGGUCAAAUCCUACCAGAGGUAUUUUCUUUCUGGAUGUAGCUCUACUGGACCAAACUGAUACAAAGACUAGAGAAUAAGAGCUUCCAAACAAGUAAGUGUCUAAGUGUUAUAGCACUAUGCUUAUUAUUUCUUGCCUUUUUUAUUUCCUGGCUGAC
rnacentral:lncRNA from 1 species